UUCCAGCUCCAAUAGCGUAUGUUAAAGUUGUUGCGGCUAAAAAGCUCGUAGUUGGAUUUCUGUUGAGGACAUCUGGUCCGCUCUACGAGCGUGUAUCUAGUUUGGCCUCGGCAUCCGCUCUGCAUACGUUUCUGCGCUUGAUUGCGUGGAGCGGAGGUAGGGCCUUUUACUUUGAGGAAAUUAGAGUGUUCACGGCAGGCAGUCGCCCUGAAUAUAUUAGCAUGGAAUAAUAACAUAGGAUCUUGGUUCUAUUUUGUUGGUUUCUAGGACUAAGAUAAUGAUUAAUAGGGACAAUUGGGGGCAUUCGUAUUGCGGUGUCAGAGGUGGAAUUCUUAGAUUACUGCACGACGAACUACUGCGAAAGCAUUUGCCAAGGAUGUUUUCAUCA
rnacentral:rRNA from 1 species